GACGAACCGUGCGAACGUUAUUCGGAAUCACUGGGCUUAAAGGGUGCGUAGGCGGGCUAUCAAGUCUGGGGUGAAAUCCCGCGGCUCAACCGUGGAACUGCCUCAGAUACUGACGGCCUCGAGGGAGGUAGGGGCAUGCGGAACUGUAGGUGGAGCGGUGAAAUGCGUUGAUAUCGUCAGGAACGCCGAUGGUGAAGACAGGUGACUGGGCUAGUUCUGACACUGAGGCACGAAAGCGUGGGGAGCGAACGGG
rnacentral:rRNA from 1 species